AAAGCCAAUAUGUAUAAAGUGGUUCAAGGGCUUCAUACAAGUGCAUGAUUGAAGAAUAAUGCUCAACAUCUCAGUGAUUGUUUAUGAUGGAAAAAUGAUGACCUUGGGUGGGUAAAGCUUACGAAGAAUUGGAAUUUUAGGCNNNNNNNNUUUUGCUGAAUAAAUUCGGGUGCUUUUUGAUAGCUACUAAAAUCAUUAAGAUAUGAGACUGCC
rnacentral:misc_RNA from 1 species